rnacentral:rRNA from 1 species
AUGCUAAUAGAGCUAUUUCAAGGUGUGGCAGUUGAAGGAUCAUCAGCUUAUGUGCCCAUAGAUGAAGAUGAAGAAGAAUAUGUUGUUGCCGAUGAUGGGAAUGAGGAGAGUCCAAUGAGCACCACCAGCAGGAAGAGGGGAAGCAGCGGCGGUGAACAGUCAGCUUCAAGCCCAAGCAAGAAACACAAGAGCCCAAUGGUGAAACUAAUGACAGGGCUCAUCAAUACUAUGAAUAGUGAGAACACUUCUGACAUGAUCACUGAAUAUGCAAACAAAAGGCGGGAAGCAAAGGACAAGGCAAAAGAGAAAGGAAUCAAUUACUCAUUGUCAAAUGUUGGCAGUUAA